UGGGGUGGGAUUUCACUGCCCAAGGUCCCAUCCGGGUGCAUCCCCAGCGCGCUGGGAGGUGAUGAGCUGUGCCUGCAGAGAGGAGCAAUCCCAGGCAGCCUGAAGGGAGGGCACUGGCACGGGGCAGAGCGAGACAGCUCCGACUUGGCAGCUCUGACCUGCUAAUUGCUGCUCUUCUCAUGUGUUUCCGAAGCGUGACCCUGCCUGGGCUGCAGCACCAGCCGCUUCCCUUGGCUGCGAUGGGAAUGCUCCUCCUGCUCCCAGCACUGGGAGGUUACGGGGGGAUCAGCAGUGCCUGUGCAAGGGGAAUGACCUGGGAACCACCUUUAGCUGCAGCUGGGCCUUGCCAGCUCUCCUCAUUCCUCUGCUGCUGGAGGCUGCAGCCCUGGUGCUCUGCAAAGGGCUGGUUCCCCCCCUAGCCGGAGCUGGGGCGAUGCUCAGGGCAGACCCUGUCCCAGUUCUCUGUGCCAGGAUGGAUAAUGUCCCUCUGAGCCCAGGGAAGGAGACAGCGGAAAACUGUGCUGGCUCCGGUUCCCUGCUCUCCUCUCCGGUGUCACCCUGCCCAGCUGGGUUGAGCGCUGGGGACACUUUGCCUCGAAGGAGAUCAGCACGAGGAGGAUGAAGGAAUCGGAGAUGGUCGUAGGAGCCACCACACGGAAGCGGAUGGCAUCCUGAGCCAGCCAGAAGGGCUUCUCUGGCAUCUCGUGCUGGUAGAAAAUCAACCUGCUGUCCACCUAGAAACAAAGAAAACCCCAUGAGCUCUGCUGAAGGGUAAAAUACAGACCCAUGUGGAAAACAGUG